GCCAAAAACUUCCAAAGGAGAAAAGUCUUAUGUACAGGUAUACAUUGUCAUGGCUACAGAGUAACAGAGCUCAACAAAGCAAUGGAAGGGACCCUUUGCCACGAGUUUGAGACUGGACUCCCUGCUGCCGAGGUAUGGGAGGUCUAUGGAGGCCUCCUUGUUGGGGAUUUGAUCCCUCAAUUGCUUCCUGAAGUGUUCUCGAAGGUUGAGCUUGUAGAGGGAGAUGGUGGAGUUGGAACAGUCCUGCUUGUCACCUUCCCUCCAGGAACUCUGGGAUCACAAACUUUCAAAGAAAAGUUCAUCAAGGUCGAUAACGAAAACUACGUCAAAGAAGUACUUGUAACUGAAGGGGGCUUUCUAGAUCAUGGAUUUCAGAAAUACUUGGUACGAAUCGAGAUUAUAGGAAAAGAAGAGAAGACAUCGAUAAUAAGAUCAACAAUUGAAUACGAAGUUCAUCAUGAGCAUGCAAACAACCCCCCUGUUGUAAGUACCAGUGGUUUAGCUACUAUUGCUGAGUCCAUCACAAAACACAUCAUGGAGCAGAAGGGUCUUGAGUAAGCCAAGUAAUUAACUCUAGAAAGAAAAGGACCAUGUCUUCAAUAAGCGAAGCAAUGAAAGGGAGCCUUUGCCAAGAAUAUGAGACCGAGUUCCCAGCUGCCGAUGUGUGGGAGGUCUAUGGAGGCCUUCUUGCCGGGCAGUUAUUACUUCCCCAAUUAGUUCCUGAAGUGUAUUCAAAGGUUGAACUUGUAGAGGGAGAUGGUGGUGUUGGAACAGUGUUGCUUGUCUCCUUUCCUCCUGGAACUCGGGGAAUUUUGCUUUCAAAAAAGUCUAUCAAGAUUUAUAAUGAAAACUACAUCAAGGAGGUACUAAUAAUUAAAGGAGGCUUUCUAGAUCAUGGUUUUAAAAAUUAUUUGAUAUGAAUAGAGAUUAUAGGAAAAGAAGAGAAGACAUCUCUAUAAUAAGAUCAAGUAUCGAGCUAGCAAGUAUGAAGUUGAUGAUGAGAACAAAAACAAUCCUCCUGUUGCCAAUAUCACAAAGUAUAUCAAGGGACAAGGGGAAGAGAGUGCAGCUCUGGGAUAACUUCCAGAAGAAUAAGGAUCCAACUGAAUUGAGGUGUCAAAAAUAAGUUGGAGCAAACUUCCACCUACUUUUUUUUUAGAUUACACAGUACAACUCAACGCACGCACACUCACCCCUAAAAACACACAUAUGCAUAUCCUACCUCUAUGAGCAUCUUCGAAGACUGAGCUGGCGAACCCUUGAGAUUGAUGAAGUCACGACCGCAGGUGCUGUCGGUGUUUUACCGUCGGGUUCUCCGAGGGGUAUUCCGAGGAGAGUGGAUAUGAGUAGGGACUCGCCGAGAUCAGAAUGCGAUGGUGCAAGGAACACAAAGAUUUAGACAGGUUCAGGCCGCCGGAGCAUAAUACGCUACGUCCUGUAUGGUGGUUUGUAUUCCCUCUGGUAUUGUUCGAUGUUUUGAAGGGGUCCCUGUUCGCCCUUAUAUAGUAUGGGGAAACAUGGUUACAUGGAAAGUCCUAGCCGAGUACGUUUAGAGCCCUACUCCGAGUGGGUCGGGUAGUUUUCUUGUACUUAGGCUAGUUCUACUGCUGUACGAGUAGUUACAGUAGAGGUAGGGCGUACUCAUGUAGUACUCCCUACUCUAGAAUAUUCCACGUCCGUGAGCAGUCCUGCUGUCUCGGGUCUGACAAGCCCCCGAGCUCUUCGUAGUCGAGUCCUACAGGCGUCGAGUGCUUCUGAUGACGAUCAUCGAGUGCUUUCAGAUGCUUCUUGAUUCCGUUGCUCAGGCUUGUAAUCUUUCGAGCUCUUCGAGUAUUCUUCCGAGUGCUUCUCUGGCUGCAUCGAGGCUAUGAGGUGCUCUAGCCCCGAAUUUUUUCUUCUGAUAUGGUGCGCGAUGUACUCGUGCUCCAUAUGGAGUAGCACCCCGAGCCUUACGUUGAACCGAUGUAUCAGGCUGAGGGUCAUUUCUGCCUUCGGGUCUGUUUUUGAAAAAAGAUCGGUGUUUAUGACACUUGUCUCAUAGCCCCCGAGCCUUGACUUAAAAUCCCUCAAUUUAGGGUUAAGGUUCCCAAACCGAGGCGCUCUUUGUGACCUUUGGUUUUCUUGGUAUUCCCAGAAAUGCCAUUGUCCUGUUUAUUUAAUGGCAGAGAUCCGAUCUGAGUUUUCAUCUUCUCUUGCCUGUGGCUAUUUCUUUAACGUUCUGUGUUAGGCUUCGUCUUCUAUCUUUCUUUGAUUUCUCAGCCCCCGAGCUUAUGCGUGAGAAGAGGCUCGUGACCUUCCGGAUGGCACCGAAGAAAUCUAAGCGCCAAAUGUCCAAGAAGGAGGCGACGAUGGCUGAUGGGUGGAAGAAGAGUAAGUUGUCUGAAGCUGCGGUCUCAUCUCUUGUUAGUCGCCAUCUUUUGCAAUCCAGAGCUUUGAUUCAAUGGCAGUCGGCCGAGGGUCAUGGGAGUCCAUUUGAGAAAACUUUUGAAAUUGUUUUCUUCAAAGCCUUCGUUGAGCGCGGCCUUGCCAUUCCUGCUUGCGACUUUUUGCGGAGUCUUCUUUUCUUCUCGGGUGUUCAGCUUCAUCACUUAACCCCUGACUCAGUCCUGCAUAUAGCUAUUUUUGUCCAGCUAUGUGAGGCGUUUCUUGGGAUUCAUCCUCAUUUUGAUCUUUUCAAAAGUCUCUUUUCCUUGAAUUCAUACCCCAAUCUUAGGAAUAUUGCGAGGUGGGGGUGCUGAUCUUCAGUUUCGCCCUGGCAUGGCGGAGAAGUAUAUCCCGUAUUCUCUGCGCCAUCAGAUUGGGGAUUGAAAAGCAGAGUUGUUUUAUAUCGAUAACCAUGCUCCUGCUCUUCCGGAGAGGACUCCUAGACCUCUGAAGCCGCGUCAUGAGUGGUGUGUGCCUGCUGGUAAUGCCGAUAAGGUGGAAGAGCUUCUCGAGCGGAUUGCUAGGCGGCGAAGGGAGGGAGUGACUGGUGCUACAGUUGUGUCGUCUUUGCUCAGGAGACAAGUCCAGCCCUUGAAGAGCCGUAUCCACUCUGGGUUCGAGUAUACGGGAUUGUAUGAUCCCUCUCGAUUUUCAUCCGAGAAGACUGGUCGGGAUGAGGCUAUGGUGCUUCUUUAUAACCACUUUGAGGGUGUCGGCACCAUUCCUAUCCUUCCGCAAUUAUUCCACGUGAAUAAUCCUCCGAAUCUGGUAGGACUCUGUGUUUAUCGAGUACUUUUCUGGGUUGCUCUCCUGCUUUUGUAGUUGAUCUUGAGUCUUUUUGUAGGAUGACUUGUUGAUCUAUCGGAGUGAUCCUCUGUUGCCAGAGGUUCAUCGGCCGAGCCAUAUGAUGCCUAGCGCUCAUUUGCAGUCUCGUGAUAGUCGGCCAGAUUUGGAUUCAACUGCUUCGGAGACUCUGUCGAGUUCUGACUCCGAUGACCGUGCUGCCCUUGCAGACCUGAUGAAGGGUAAGACGGGAGGAGUCGAACCUUUGGCUCGUGAGAGGAGUCCGGGACCCGAAGUCGGCACUAGUUGUCCCAAGAAGCCGAGGACAACUGUGCGGAAGAAGAGAAUCAGUAGUGAAGUCAGUCCUGGUCCUGCGCCUAAGAAGAGGUGAGUGGUUGAGGAGAGGGCUCCUGUUGCUGCCGCUCCUUCUGAUAUGGCGGAGUCUUCGAGGAGGGCUGGCGGGACGGGAUCGCAGCCUUCGGAGGAGGUCCCUGUCGGUGAGCUCAUCAUUCCUCCUUACAACGGUUCGAAGGCUCUUCCAUUUGCUCGUCUGCUUCUCGAGGAUAGGACAGCAGGUGCUUCGCCAGGAGUUGACGAGGAGUCGAGUGAUAGCCUCUUAGAGUAGAUUACGACAUCUCCUCCUCCUUUUGAGUAUUAUCAUGGUGAGCAGCUUGAGGAUGAUCCGCAGCUAACGGCUGGGAACAUGAAGAAAUUCUAGAUUGUUGUCCGGGAAUUCACCAAGUUUUCUGUGAUGGCCAAUCGGUCGUAUCUGAAGUCUCAGAAGCUGAAAGCGACUGAGGCGGAUCGCCGGAAGGUUGCUCUGCUGGAGGCGGAAAAUGCUACUUUGAAGAAGGACAAAGCCGCACUCGAGCAGAGGGUCAGGAUGCUGAAGGAUGUGAUCCAGAAGAACCGAGGCAGUACUGAGGAGCACCAGAAGGAGUUGCAGGAACUUCGGGUGGCAGCUCGCACUGUGGUCGAGUCUGUAGAUUCCGCCGAUGAGUCUGAUGGCAGUUUGGCUGAUCAGCUGCAGAAGGUUCCUCAGAAGUUUGCCGAGUACUUGGCUGAAGCUUCUAGGAAUUGUGUAGCGCAGGCUCUUGGUCUUGUCAAAUCAUACUGGUCUUGGGCCAAGAUAGGUGUCCUUGGCGAUGGCUUGUGUUCGACUUGUGAUCAUGACCAAUUUGCCAAGUAUGUAGAAGAGGCUGAGCCUGUGGCUGAUCAGAUUGUAAAAUUGAUAGAACAGUAGGAUGUACUAUCUUUUUCUUGUCAUGUAAAUAUGACGUUGAUAAUAUAUUGCUGUAUUUUUUUGGGAGAA